GCUCACACCUGUAAUCCCAGCACUUUGGGAUACUGAGGCAGGCAGAUCACCUGAGGUCAGUAGUUUGAGACCAUCUGGCCAACAUGCGGAAACCCUGUCUCUACUAAAAGUAUAAAAAUUAGUUGGGUGUGGUAGUGUGUGCCUGUAAUCCCAGCUACUCAGGAGGCUGAGGCAGGGGAAUCGCAUGAACCUAGGAGGUGGAGGUUGCAGUGAGCUGAGAUCGUGCCACUGCAGUCCAGCCUGGGUGACAGAGUGAGACUCUGACUGAAAAAAAACAAACAAAAACAAACAAAUGAAAAAAAAAAGGUGGUUUAGUUUUGGGAAGGGCUACUAUCAUCCUUGCUUUAAGGUUAAACUGUAAACUAAAUUCUUCCCAAAGUUAGCUCGGCCUAUGCCCAGGAAUGACCAGGGACACCUCAGAGGUUAGAAGCAACAUGGAGUCAGCUAUGUUAGAAUUUCUCUUACUGUCGUAAUUUUGCAAACGCAGUUUCACUCACUCACCUGUAGACCAGGCCACCAUAAACUGCAGUCCCUCCCUAUGGUUAGACUACCAUGUGCUCUGAGGCUUAAUGCCUCUUUCCUAGACUGCAGCUAUUCAAAGACCAUGCAGCUGCCAAGCUUAAAACAUUCUGCCUACACACUAAAGUCCACUAACACCUCUAAAUUUAUAUAGCUCCUCUAAGUUCCGAGUUUUGGUUUUGAUUUCUCAGUAUUCCUCAACAUUCAUCCAAUUGGAAGUCUUCAGACUUCAGAGCUAUACUUCCUUUCCAAACUGCAGGUUUCUCUUGUCCUGCAGGGACAGAGGUUGCCUCAUGUGCACCUUAUGGCCAGGAAAAGAGCAAAUAAGUCCAGACUAUGUGAAUAGUCUGAAGGCUAAUUAGAAAAUGUUGGUUUAUUCUACACAAAUUUACCAAUCAAGUGAAUCACUCCACUUCUGCUAAGACAGAGUGACUAUAGAGGCACAGAGGCAAAGAAUUACAUUCUUUGGCCAGGUUCAAGUGAUUCUCCCACCUCAGACUCCCAAGUAGCUGGGACUAUAGGGCACAUUCCACCACGCCUGGUUAAUUAUUAUUACUAUUAGUUUUUGUAAAUAUGGGGUUUUGCCAUGUUGCCCAGGCUGAUCUUGUGAACUCCUGUGUUCUAUCCACUGAGAAAUGUUCCUUCUACAUGGGAUGACGGAAGAGUACAGGAGAAGCAUUCUCUGCUAGCAAGGUAGCCUCUGUCUUCUCAGUGAAGUAGGAGACAAAGUUGUGUCAAAAAAAUAUUUCAGGCAGGCUGGGCAUGGUGGCUCAUGCCUGUAAUCCCAGCACUUUCCGAGGCUGAGGCAGGCAGAUCACCUGAGGUCAAGAGUUCGAGACCAGCCUGGCCAACAUGGUGAAACCCCGUCUAUACUAAAAAUACAAAAAUUAGCCGGGAGUGGUGGCGGGCACCUGUAAUCCUAGCUACUCAGGAGGCUGAGGCAGGAGAAUUGCUUGAAUCUGGGAGGCAGAGGUUGCAGUGAGCCAAGACUGUGCCACUGCACUCCAGUCUGGGCAACAGAGCAAGACUCCAUCUCAAAAAAAAAAAAAAUUCAGACAGCAAAAGAUUUGAGGACUCGAGGAAAGUAGGGGUGGUUUUGAAUACUAUUGUGGGGAAUGAAAUAAGGAGCCAAACAGAGAUUAAUUAUUUGAAAAAUUCCUGGCUGGAUGCAGUGGCUCACACCUGUAAUCCCAGCGCUUUUGGAGGCCAAGGUUGACAGAUCACCUUAGGUCAGGAGUUUGAGCCCAGCCUGGCCAACAUGAUGAAACCCUGUCUCUACUUAAAAACACAAACAAACAAACAAACAAAUUAGCUGGGCAUGGUGGCACACACCUGUAAUCCCAGCUACUUGGGAGGCUGAGGCAAGAGAAGCACUUGUACCCAGGAGGUGGAGGUUGCAGUGAGCCAAGAUUGCAUCACUGCACGCCAGCCUGGGGGACACGAGUGAAACUCUGUCUCAAAAAUAAUAAUAAUAAUAAAUUCCUGAGUGUCCCUGAUGAUUUAGAGUUAGAGUGCAGUUAGAGUCAGGAAGAAAUCAAGGCAUGAAGUAAUACAGGAGCUGGGAUGAAAAACAUGAACAAUGGAAGGGUCUUGUUUCAACUGGAAUGGAAGAGAGCCAAGCUGAGCACAGUAACCAGGCUACAAGGAGGACAAAUGAAUCUAAAUGGAAUACUGAUACUAACUGGCUAACACUUAUCAUGUACUUAAUUUGUGCUAGGUUUAUAUGAAUUAUCUAUUUAAACCUUCACAGGAAGUCUUUGAGAAAUUUAAGGGAAAGAGGAAUUCAGUAACCUGUCCCUGGCCACUCAGCUAGUGAAGGGCAGUGUGAGUUUAAACCCAGGCAGUUUGACCCUAAAAUCUGCAGCUUUAACCUCAGUCCUACUGGUUGAAUUCAAAUUACUCUUAGAACAAAUACCAGGUUCAGUAGAAUGGGAAAAAUGAUAAAACAAGAGGUUAUGGGUAGGAAUGGGCAUUUACAUUUAAAAUCUUGGAGGUUGAGCAGAUUUGAUAUCCUAGGAAGGUGGAUGGUAACAAGUCAAUAAAGCUGAAAAAAUGUGAGAUCAGCCUGUCAAAAAGUCAUGAACUGGCCAGGCGCAGUGGCUCACACCUGUAAUCCCAGCACUUUGGGAGGCCAAGGCAGGUGGAUCACCUGAAGUCAGGAGGUCAAGACCAUCCUGGCCAACAUGGUGAAACCCUGUCUCUACUAAAAAUACAAAAAUUAGUUGGGUGUGGUGGUGGGCACCUGUAAUCCCAGCUACUCGGGAGGCCGAGAUAGGAGAAUUGCUUGAACCCAGGAGGUGGAGGUUGCAGUGAGCUGAGUUUGUGCCAUUGCACUCCAGUCUGGGCAACAAGAGUUAAACUCUGUCUCAAAAAAAAAAAAAAGUCAUGAACCAUUUACCCUGAUGGGAUUAUUGUACAUUGUAUGCCUGUAUCAAAAUAUUUCAUGUGUCCCAUAAAUAUGUACACCUACCAUGUCCCCAUAAAAAUUUUUUUUAAUUAAAAAUUUUGAUAGGAAAGAGAAGAGAGUGGUGUUAGUGUUUGGAUUAAAUUUCAAAGGAAACUAUGUAAUCCAUUAUAAUCUCUCUCCUUCCUCCACUUCGGUUUCUCUUUUUCUUUCUUUCUUUUUUUUUUUUUUUUUUUUUUUUUUUUGAGGCAGCAGAGUUCACCUCAGCCUCCUGAGUAGCUGGGAUUACUGUCAUGCGCCACUACACCUGGCUAAUUUUUGUAUUUUCAGUAGAGACCAGGUUUCACCAUGUUGCCCAGGCUGGUCUCGAACUCCUGAUCUCAGGUGAUCUGCCUACCUUGGCUUCCCAAAGUGCUAGGAUUACAGACCUGAACUACCACACGCGGCCCCUCCCUCCACUUUGGACUGCACAUGCCUCCUUUAUUCACUUAAGAGAAAGGUGAGGAACAAAGAAAGGCUAAAAGACACGUCACAUUAUUAAUAAUCUUGGCUAGUUGUAACAAAGUAAAAUAAAAUGUCUCAAUAAAUUUUUAAAUCUUUGUUGCUUGGCUUGUCUCAUUUUAGCAUUGAGAAUCAAGCUUAAAUAUCCAAGUAAUCAGUUAUAAGAAUACACAGGAAAUAAUAUAACACUUUUAUUCCCAGAAUAAAAAUAGAAUGCUUUCAGUCCCGGGAGCUCCUUUUCUGUUUUUCAUUAAAUUUUUUUGAUGUUGCUGACACAUCCCAUUUAAACGUAAUUUUUAUUUCCUUAGAUAUUUUUGAAUAAAACGUUCUCUCUCCUGCUGUUCUGUAGCAGAAAUAAUAUUCAUUGGCACUGUUUGAUGACAUUUCAAAAGUGUCUCUUGCUUCCAUUCUUAGAUUUGUGUUACAUUUUCCUCCAUGAAUACACAGCAUCUUUUUGUAGUUCUCUCUCAUAAUAAUAGGGAGAAGAUGACUCUGAUAUGCAUUUAUUAAUCUCUUUUAAAGUUACAGAUAUUUAAUGUUGUAUCUUGCAUUUUGGGGAACCUUUUUAUUUCUACUGAUUGCCCUUUCCCUAGUGGAAAAUGGUCUGUGUCAUUUAGCAAUAAGCUUUUCUAUUAGAAACAACAAAAGAUAUUCUGACAAAUUGGGACACAUCAGUGUAUUUUCAGCCAUUUUAUAUUCAAAUCUUUUUUGGUGUAUUUUUUUUUUUAAUCUAAUCUUUGUUUCUCCAUUCUAGAGCAUUUUCUUCUUGAGUAGCUCAGUAAGUUAUCUUGUCACAUUCAUAAAUGCUUUCAGAGAAUUUUAUUUGAGUUUUAAAUGGUUUCAAGUCUCUUCUAGCUUUUAGGUUGUCUACCUUGGAAAGUUUUUUAACUUGAACUGUACCUAUGAACAUUUCUGAUUUAAAAUACUCCUGGGGCCAGGUGAAGUGGCUCACACUUGUAAUCCUAGCACUUUGAGAGGCCGAGGUUGGUGAAUCACUUGAGGUCAGGAGUUUGAGACCAGCUUGGCCAACAUGGUGAAACCGCAUCUCUACUAAAAAAACAAAAAUUAGCCAGGCGUGGUGGCGUGUGCCUGUAGUCCCAGCUACUCAGGUGGCUGAGGAAGGAGAAACACUUGAACCUGGGAAGUUGAGGUUGCAGUGAGCUGAGACUUUGCCACUGCAUUCCAACCUGGGCAACAGAGCGAGACUCCGUCUCAAAAAAAAAAAAAAAAUACUCCCAGGCUGGACAUGGUGGCUCACACGAUCACUUAAGUUUAGGAGUUCAAGACCAGUCUGAGAAACAUAGCAAGACCUCGCUCCUAUCUACUAAAUAAAUAAAUAAUAAACAUUAGCCAGGCAUGGUGGCACAUGCUUGUAGUUCAGCUACUCAGGAGGCUGAAGCCGGAGGAUCACUUGAGCCCAGGAGGUUGAGGCUGCAGUGAGCCAUGACUGUGCCACUGCACUCUAGCCUAGGCAUGAGCAAGACCCUGUCUCAAUCAAUCAAUCAAUCAAUAAAGCAUUUUGUAUUUGUCUCUCUGCUCUCCCUAUGCUGACUAGAAGCAUGACACUCUCCCUCUUGGUACAGCACUGAGGCCGUCAGUCACCAGAAUCUGGUGACUCCUCUAUCCUCAGCUCCUCUGUUACUCGUCUGAUCUACAGUCCUUUAAUCCAUCAUCUCUGUCUGGCGCGGGUUGUUUCCCAAGCCUCCCAGUUGCUUGGCCAGCUUUGGCACUCCUACCCCUAUCCUCUUUCUCAACUAGCAGCCAGAGUUUUCCUAUUAAAAGCUAAGCCAGGUCAAGUCACUCUUGGCGCUGGAGUGGCUUCCCAUCUCGUUCAGAGUGAAAGCUGGUGUUCACAGUAGCCUACAAGGCCCUGAGUGCUCUGACCUGUCUUCUUCUCUGAUCUCACCUCCCACUCUCCCUCUCCCUCUGCUCUAGUUACGCCAGCUCUUAGCUGUUCCUUGAAUAUGCCAAGAUGCUCUUACCUCAAGACGUGCACUGUCGUUGCAGGAAACACAUUUCGCAGAUAUAUCUAUCUGCAUGCAUGACACGGUCCCUCACCCCUUCAAGGUUUUGCUCAAAAUGUCACUUUCUCAGGGAGGCUUUCUCUGAGCUCCUUUUAAAUUCAACUCUCCCCACCUGCCCCCACCCCCCGCCCCAGCUUCCACAUCCUCAGCAAUUUCUGUUCCCUUCCCCUGCCAUGUUUUGGUCAAUAUAACAUUUACCACCAUCUAAUAUGUGUGUGUGUGUGUGUGUGUGUGUGUGUGUGUGUGUGUGUGUGUGUGUGUGUGUGUGUGUUUUGAGACAGAGUCUUGCUCUGUUGCCCGGCUGGGGUGCAAUGUCACAAUCUCGGCUCACUGCAACCUGUGCCUGCCAGGUCCAACCGAUUCUUCUGCCUCAGCCUCCCAAGUAGCUGGGAUUAGAGGCAUGCACUACCAUGCCCAGCUAAUUUUGUAUUUUUAGUAGAGACGCGGU
rnacentral:lncRNA from 1 species